GAUAUCAACUGAAAAAGUCAUCAACAAUAAAGUUGAAUAACUCAUCAAGAUCUAAAACUUUUAUUUUGGUCAUUUCUUCAUACGACAAAGUGAUAGUAACAUUGUUCACAAAAUAGACAUAUCUCUUAUCUGGUUUUAUAAACUAUAACACAUAUAUGUAAAAUUUGGGAAUAAUAUUACUAACAUUUCGUCGGAUGAAGAAAUAACAAAAUAAAAGUUUUAGAUCUUGAUGAGUUAUUCAACUUUGUUGUUGAUGACUUUUUCAAUUGAAAUC
rfam:Oryza rufipogon genomic scaffold, chr04